rnacentral:lncRNA from 1 species
CCAUCAGUUCUCCUUCUUAUUUUUUUGGGUUUCUUUAUGCAAACCCUAGCGAGCCGCUGAUUCCUCCUUGCCGCUCGUCGCACGACCCCCCUCCCUCCUCUCCUCUUCCUCUUGUCGCCGAUCCAUCGCAACAGUGGCACCCCUCGCCGCUCUCUCUGGCCGUCUCUCGCCGUCCCGGUGGUCCGUUCGUGGUUGUGUCUCGCCGGCUGGAGUUUGCCUUCUCUCUUCUCUCUCUCUGUUCGGCUCUUUCUCUAGCCGUCUCUCGCCGGCGCUCGCGGCCUCUGCUCCCUCGCCCUCCCUCGCCUCCACCCUCCAUCAAUCUUCCGGACACGCGUCGACACGCGUGUCAAAAAAAAGUUGACCGCGUGUCCGGCCGUGUCCAAGCGUGUCGACGUGUCCGACACGCUCCGACACGUGUCGGACACGACACGGAAGCAUGGACAACGUCUCCGUGCUUCAUAGGUUAUUUAUUUAUUGUCUGAAGACAGCGAAUGCACAUAUUCGUGGUUUAUGUCGGAUAUUUUCUUUUUGUCAACAACCUUCUUAAAUUCGGAUCUCGAAUUAUUUUUUCUCUUACCACAACUAUAAUUUCUUUGUAUUGUGUAUUAUUAUCAAUGAUUCUCUUCAUGACCCAGUGGUUCAAAUAUUUUAUUACAAGUUUAAUCUUUCACGCAUCAAGUUCAUUGCGCAUUGCAGCAAUUGUAUGAGAAUUUGCCAAGUGCAUGGAGCUUGAAAGUUGACAUUUCAAACGUUGAUUUUUCUUCAUAUAUGCAUCUCGAGUGUACAUCAUUUAACGAGUCUAAUUGUCUGGAGGACGAGAGAAACAAAUUUCAUAGGCUGAAGAGUGUCUAUUGAUAAGCUUUCUACUGUCAAUGACGGGGACACUCGAACCACACUCACCUAAACACGCAGCUAAAAACUUGACAAUUGGCCAUUGGAUGAGGAUAAAUUCUACCAAUCACUAUCAAUGCAAUGCCAUCCAUAUUUUCUAUCUCUCAUCUCUCCAAGUCUAAAGGUUCAAUCUCAUCGAUUGACAUUUGUCCUUUGGUUUGGCAGUAUAAUUGAAAAGUCCCUACAAGGUUAAAU